GAUGAACGCUAGCUACAGGCUUAACACAUGCCAGUCGAGGGGCAGCAUUUUAGUUUGCUUGCAAACUAAAGAUGGCGACCGGCGCACGGGUGAGUAACACGUAUCCAACCUGCCGAUAACUCGGGGAUAGCCUUUCGAAAGAAAGAUUAAUAUCCGAUAGUAUAUUAAAACCGCAUGGUUUUACUAUUAAAGAAUUUCGGUUAUCGAUGGGGAUGCGUUCCAUUAGUUUGUUGGCGGGGUAACGGCCCACCAAGACUACGAUGGAUAGGGGUUCUGAGAGGAAGGUCCCCCACAUUGGAACUGAGACACGGUCCAAACUCCUACGGGAGGCAGCAGUGAGGAAUAUUGGUCAAUGGACGAGAGUCUGAACCAGCCAAGUAGCGUGAAGGAUGACUGCCCUAUGGGUUGUAAACUUCUUUUAUAUGGGAAUAAAGUAUUCCACGUGUGGGAUUUUGUAUGUACCAUAUGAAUAAGGAUCGGCUAACUCCGUGCCAGCAGCCGCGGUAAUACGGAGGAUCCGAGCGUUAUCCGGAUUUAUUGGGUUUAAAGGGAGCGUAGGUGGAUUGUUAAGUCAGUUGUGAAAGUUUGCGGCUCAACCGUAAAAUUGCAGUUGAAACUGGCAGUCUUGAGUACAGUAGAGGUGGGCGGAAUUCGUGGUGUAGCGGUGAAAUGCUU
rnacentral:rRNA from 1 species